rnacentral:lncRNA from 1 species
GCUUUGUGUCUUAUUUCUGCUCUAACGAAAACUCUAAGAUGAGGAAGUUAGAAGUCGGAUUUGAAGUUGGACUUUCCCAUAAAUCGAAGUCUAUGUGGAUCCUUAGUCAUAUAUGAAAUGGAAUAAAGAUGGACCGAGCUUACUUAAUACAAUUGUAUAUUUAUAUUUAUUUUUUAGACUUCAAGCUCAUAUUUGUAUUUUAUAGUUUGCACCGUCAUAUAUAUUUUAUAUAAUUC